rnacentral:rRNA from 1 species
UACGAAGGGGCUAGCGUUGCUCGGAAUUACUGGGCGUAAAGCGCACUAGCGGUCUUUUAAGUCGGGGGUAAACCUGGAGCUCAACUCCAGAACUGCCUCAUACUGGAAAGACUCGAGUCCCGGGGAAGAGGUGAGUGGGAAACUGGCGAGUGUAAGAGGGUGAAAAAUUCGGUUAAAGAUUAUUCGCAAAGAACCACCCAAGUGGCGAAGGGCGGCUCAC